CGAAUUCAACAUGUGCACACUCGCAAAAAAAAAAGAAAAUUCAACAUGUGCAAAGUCGUUUCAUACUAUCGCGACACAAUAAAGGGCAGUGAUAGGCGCCGUCGCGCCGGCCCAAAUUUCGGCCGGUCUGCUGCCGAACGUACGAUACAGACUUUUUUAACCGUACGAUACAACUUUUCCUCUGUCUCUAAAAAGUCAACCACGCUGAAAAAAGGUAGCGACCAGAAUCCACGCACUCGCCGGCCAGAAUCUGCAUGCUCGCCGGCCGCUCACACUUGUCCUCGGCAUCUCAUGCUUGUUGGUCACCUGUGCCACCGCGCCCGCCCACCCGUGUUCGCCGGCGCUCGCGUCAUUGCGCUUGUCUCGGCUGUCUCUGCUCACCAUGGUUACAACUCGAACGCAGACGGGUUCCAGCUUGUGGUCACCAUGGUUGCAGCAUCUACGGCGUCUCCGUCUCCGGCUCGCCGCCGUCAUUGACUUGCACCGCAACCGCCAUAUCCAGCAAAAACAAAUCUAAAAAGCAAUAAAAACAUCCAAUACACUGUUGAAGCAAAAAGAUUAGCUGGUUCCAGCAAAACUUGAUGCUAUUUCUAGCAAAAAUCGAAUGCAACAAAAACCUCUGGUACUCGGUUGAAGCAAAUAGAUUUGCCGGUUCCAACAAAACUUGAUGGUGGUUCCAGCAAAAAUCUCAGCAGCAAAAAGCAAUAAGCCAAUUGUAGCAAAUGAAUUAGCCAGUUCCAGCAAAAAGUAAUGCUGGUUCCAGCAAAAUAGCCUCAAGCAAACAAAAAAGACUAGUGCCCAUUGUAGCAAAAGAAAAAGACGGUUCCAGCAAAAAUAAAGGCUGGUUCCAGCAAAAAUUGUGUCACCUGUCCAAGACGCGUGCGGUUCCAGCAUCAGGGGACACUGGUUCCAGCAUCGUCAUGUGUCGGUUGCAGCUCCCUAGUCCGCCGGUUCCAGCAUCGUUGCCUGAGCAGGAGCAGGUCGCCAUCGUCACGCACCAUGGUGACAUAGCGGGGUGCGCCAGCUUGCAGCGCAGUCGUCGGGCCCCUUCCUCGCAGCUCCAAGGAGCCGAGCGUGUGUGAACAGCAUGUACUUGAGCUCAACCUCAUGGAUCCAUGGCGUAUUGCGCAGGACAUGAGACAGGAAAGCAAAAAACACGAACAAGCUCACCCCCUCUCAUGGAUCUAUGAUGGAAAAAACCGCGGGGAACAGGUAAGGCAACAAAAACGAACUCAAUUUCAUGAGGAUUUGGUGUGGAUUCUUGAAGAGAGAGCACAAGAAGAGAGGGGAGAGAAAUUGAGCAAGGGGGGUUGAAGGACGAGACGCCUGCUGUGGUCUCCAGAAUACGCGAGGGGAUAAGAUGAAAGCGGUGGGGAUAGACUUAGC
rnacentral:rRNA from 1 species